AUGCCAUGGGGUUUGGGUAUGGGUGUGAUUUUUGUCAUAACUUGCUUUCCAGGUUAAAGAAGAUCUUCACAAGCUUAAAGUCAAAGUGACAAAUAUUAACUUGAAAGGAAAUGUAGAAACCGUGGACAUUAGUGACCUGGAUACAGCAACUAAACGAACUGAACUUGAGCUGAGAACACAUGCUGAAAAUUAUUUCAAUGCUGUAAACAGACAAGAGUUAACUAUUUCUUCUACUAAUAAUAAAGAAGUGCAUUCAAAAGAGCCCCCUAAGCGGGGCCUUCCUUUUGGUGCUUCUCAGAAACAGCUUAUUUUACCACGAGUACCUGUUGAGCCAGUGACUGUCCAGGCAUACAGCAAAUCAGCACUACGCGUUUCUCAAAGUUCACAGGUCUGAGAUAACAUACUGUUUAUUCUGCCAGAGACCACAUUAAAUGAGCAGGCUGCUGUCUCCUAGGUUGCCAGUUGAUCCCAUAAUGUUCUGA
rnacentral:lncRNA from 1 species